CGGCGAGUGAAGCGGCAACAGCUCAAAUUUGAAAUCUGGCCCUCGGGUCCGAGUUGUAAUUUGUAGAGGAUGCUUUUGGUGAGGUACCUUCCGAGUUCCCUGGAACGGGACGCCAUAGAGGGUGAGAGCCCCGUCUGGUUGGAUACCGAUCCUCUGUAAAGCUCCUUCAACGAGUCGAGUAGUUUGGGAAUGCUGCUCUAAAUGGGAGGUAUAUGUCUUCUAAAGCUAAAUAUUGGCCAGAGACCGAUAGCGCACAAGUAGAGUGAUCGAAAGAUGAAAAGCACUUUGAAAAGAGAGUUAAAAAGUACGUGAAAUUGUUGAAAGGGAAGCGCUUAUGACCAGACUUGGGCUUGGUUGAUCAUCCUGGGUUCUCCCUGGUGCACUCUUCCAGUUCAGGCCAGCAUCAGUUCGUCGCGGAGGAUAAAGACUUUAGGAAUGUGGCUCCCCCGGGAGUGUUAUAGCCUAUUGUGUAAUACUCUGCUUUGGACUGAGGUUCGCGCAUCUGCAAGGAUGCUGGCGUAAUGGUCAUCAGCGACCCGUCUUGAAACAC
rnacentral:rRNA from 1 species